GCACUGAUGAGCUCCAAAUAGAUGGAAAGUCGAUUCCUACAGUUGCCCUGUUUUGCCACGCGGUGGCGCUGAUGCACCAGGAAGACACCACGGCUCUGGAGCGAGCAGCUGCUCUGCUGGCUUGGAUCUGUCCCAGAAACGUCUGAGGGAGGUGGUGACCCUGAGAAGGGAAAUGGACAAGAUGAUGAGCCAGAGAAAAUGGAUGAAAGCCUUUGAACCCCUCAGAAGACCUCAGCUCAAAGGUUACUACGUCACCGAAUCUCUCCCUGACCACCACGCUGUGAAGUAGCCUGGGAAGAAAGGCCAUCUCAGCUCUUCCAGCUGUCCUACCUGAAGCCUGAACAUGUGAGUGAAACCACUGUGGACUCCCAGCUUUUGCUG
rnacentral:lncRNA from 1 species